GCACAUGGCUUAGUGGUUAGGGUGUUCGACUUACAAUCGUAAGGUCAGGAGUUCAAUUCUCGAUGAUGUGUU
rnacentral:tRNA from 1 species